rnacentral:rRNA from 1 species
AGUGAACGCUGGCGGUAGGCCUAACACAUGCAAGUCGAACGGCAGCACAGUAAGAGCUUGCUCUUACGGGUGGCGAGUGGCGGACGGGUGAGGAAUACAUCGGAAUCUACUUUUUCGUGGGGGAUAACGUAGGGAAACUUACGCUAAUACCGCAUACGACCUACGGGUGAAAGCAGGGGAUCUUCGGACCUUGCGCGAUUGAAUGAGCCGAUGUCGGAUUAGCUAGUUGGCGGGGUAAAGGCCCACCAAGGCGACGAUCCGUAGCUGGUCUGAGAGGAUGAUCAGCCACACUGGAACUGAGACACGGUCCAGACUCCUACGGGAGGCAGCAGUGGGGAAUAUUGGACAAUGGGCGCAAGCCUGAUCCAGCCAUACCGCGUGGGUGAAGAAGGCCUUCGGGUUGUAGAGCCCUUCUGUUGGGAAAGAAAAGCAGCAGGUUAAUACCCCGCUGUUCUGACGGUACCCAAAGAAUAAGCACCGGCUAACUUCGUG